AUUGAACGCUGGCGGCAGGCCUAACACAUGCAAGUCGAGCGGAUGAAGGGAGCUUGCUCCUGGAUUCAGCGGCGGACGGGUGAGUAAUGCCUAGGAAUCUGCCUGGUAGUGGGGGAUAACGUCCGGAAACGGGCGCUAAUACCGCAUACGUCCUGAGGGAGAAAGUGGGGGAUCUUCGGACCUCACGCUAUCAGAUGAGCCUAGGUCGGAUUAGCUAGUUGGUGGGGUAAAGGCCUACCAAGGCGACGAUCCGUAACUGGUCUGAGAGGAUGAUCAGUCACACUGGAACCGAGACACGGUCCAGACUCCUACGGGAGGCAGCAGUGGGGAAUAUUGGACAAUGGGCGAAAGCCUGAUCCAGCCAUACCGCGUGUGUGAAGAAGGUCUUCGGAUUGUAAAGCACUUUAAGUUGGGAGGAAGGGCAGUAAGUUAAUACCUUGCUGUUUUGACGUUACCAACAGAAUAAGCACCGGCUAACUUCGUG
rnacentral:rRNA from 1 species